rnacentral:lncRNA from 1 species
CGCCCACCUCGAGGGCUGACCACCCUCGUCUUUCACACUGCUACGGUGCUCGUUGUUCGGAUCCGUGAGUCGACCAGAACCCCAGCAUCACUACCACACUGCAAUUUGCUUCUGCCUCAAUGAUGAACAGAUUAGCACAGCGCACCAUCGAGCCACAGCCAGGAAGUGGCCUGAAACCUCAUGCAGGACCUGAGCAACCCAAGCAGGGUCCCGCCGUCCCUCACUUCCGGAUGACACAGAGGGAGAUGAAGUUGAAGCAGACAGCCCACGAGCCUGUGGUCAUGUCAUCCUCAGGCAGUCGUGAGGUGAGCAACUUUGCUCUACCACAUGUUCCCUGCCAUGAUGUUUUGCUUCACCACAGGCCUAAUGCAAUGGAGCAACUGAUUAUUGAUUGAACCUUCUGAAACUAUCAAGAGCGAGUAGUGCCAGGCAUGGUGGUGCACAUUUGUAAUCCCAG